rnacentral:rRNA from 1 species
AUACGGAGGAUGCGAGCGUUAUCCGGAUUUAUUGGGUUUAAAGGGAGCGUAGGUGGGAUAUUAAGUCAGCUGUGAAAGUUUGGGGCUCAACCUUAAAAUUGCAGUUGAUACUGGUUUCCUUGAGUACGGUACAGGUGGGCGGAAUUCGUGGUGCAGCGGUGAAAUGCUUAGAUAUCACGAAGAACUCCGAUCGCGAAGGCAGCUCACCGGGCCGGAACUGACACUGAUGCUCGAAAGUGCGGGUAUCAAACAGGAUUAGAUACCCUGGUAGUCCGCACAGUAAACGAUGAAUACUCGCUGUUUGCGAUACACGGUAAGCGGCCAAGCGAAAGCGUUAAGUAUUCCACCUGGGGAGUACGCCGGCAACGGUGAGACUCAAAUGAAUUGACGGGG